AUUGAACGCUGGCGGCAUGCUUUACACAUGCAAGUCGAACGGUAACAGGCCUUCUGUUUCUGACGAGUGGCGAACGGUUGAGUAAUUCAUCGGAACGUUCCCAGAGGUUGGGUAUAACGCAUCUAAAGCUGUUCUAAUACCUCAUGUGAUCUGAGUAUGAAAGCGGUGUACCACGCAGCAAUUUUUGGCCUCUCGCCUCUUGAGCGGCCGAUGUCAGAUUAGUUAGUUGGUGGGGUAAAGCCCUACCAAGCCGACGAUCUGUAGCUGGUCUGAGAGGAGGACAAGCAACACUGGGAGUGAGACACGGACAAGACGACUACGGGAGGAAGCAGAGGGGAAUGUUGGACAAUGGGGGCAAGAAUGAUCAAGCAAUGCAGCGUGCGGGAAGAAGGCCUUGGGGUUGUAAACAGGUUUUGUACGGAACGAAAAGGAUCUGGCUAAUACCUGGGGCUGAUGACGGUAACGUAAGAAUAAGCACCGGCUAACUACGUG
rnacentral:rRNA from 1 species